AUUUAGACAUUCCCUCUGAAAAGAAAAGAAGAAACCCUAAUUCCAUCUCUCACUCUCUCUUACUAGCUCUCUUUGAUUCGAUCUGAUAUAUAUAUAUAUAUAUCAUGGAAGGAACCAAUGGAUCGGUAGUGCUUGAAUCGCGGCUAUAAUAAGCUGCGCUCUUUCUCCUCGUGAGUACCGUUUUCUUCGUUUAAUCGCUUGGUUUCGGAAUCGUUGUCAGUUUCGUUAAGCGUUGAUUAGGGUUUCUGUUUGAGAAGCAAAAUUAGUUGAUAGUUUGAUUAAUUGCAUGUUGAAUCAAAAGAUAUAACUUCAUUCAUCUUUUUUUUUGUGUGUGCAAGGAGAUGGUUUCAAGGUAGAGACAAUGUGUAAACUUCAAUGAAGGUGAACAAGAAGAAGAUUAACCAAUAAAGGAUCUAAGAACCACGUAGCUGCUGCAACUGUUGCUUCACAACCGGAGCCCCAUAUAGUAUCUCUGAGGCCAAGAAAGAAGAAAGUUGAUACUACUGAAGCCAUCUUCCAAAAGGACUCAAAGUUCUUUAUUUAUCUAUCUUUCUUUUGGGGAGUCCCAAAAACAUAUCUGCUGGCACUACUACCAAUCUGAUUAUUCAGUAUAAAUUAAGCCAUCAAAAAAGCAAAAGCUAGAUGAUGGAAAAUCAAGACUGUGCACGGAUCAGGAAGUUGAGCCAGAUGCUUAUGUUGCGGUGAUGGAUGUUAUCUUGAUUGGUGGUUCAACAAGGAUCUAUCUAUAGGCGUGCGCUGGGUUCCACACUUCCUCUGCAUAUGAUACAAUCCAUUUGUUUAACCGCUUGACGCAUCUACUACGCCUAUGGAGCAAGAUGAUGAAGAGAACAUAGAAAAUCUAGAGGUUUGCUCAUCAGGUCUUGAGUUCUGAAAUUACUGAUUUUGAUGUUCUUCUCUAUGCUCCUUGGUGCUACUGGAGUAAACGUUUGGUAAAAGAUGCAGAAACAUGGUGAUUUCAAGCUUCCUCAGUUCUUCAACUAUCCUCCAUACUUCCUCGGAAUUAUCUGAUAAAUGAUCAGAACAGCAACUGAGUUAAACACAGCAUGAUAGGACGAUUCUAAUGAAGGCCUUGAAGCUGCUAGAGAACAAGGGCAAGCUUGCAUUGUUCAAAGGAACAUCGGCUGAUGAUGAAGGCUUCAAGUUCUCUUUCUGAAUGCUACUCUCUGUAUAAAAGAAUGGCCAACAGAAGCUCUAACUCUAUGAAAGAAUCACUAGAUAUCCACAAGGAUUUUGCAGUUGAUCUUCCAGCAAUCACUAUGUAUUAAUUCUUUUAAACAUAUUUCUAUGCUACUCUUUCAAAAGUUAAACAAAAAAAAACUAAAAAGAAAAGCAUGUUAAAAAAUAAUGUUAUAUUUGACCAAAA